UUUAGAAACUUCGCUAACUUUCCCACAGAACGAUACAGAGAAGGUUCGUUCGAACAACAUCAUCAACCCGAUCACGAUACUGACCGAAUAUAGAUUAGCAUGGCCCCUGCACUAAGGAUGACACGCUCAAUCAAAGAGAAGCUACCAAUUUUU
rnacentral:snRNA from 1 species